GUGAGGCUGUUUGAAGACGGACAGAUUCACAAAGCUAAAUCAGACAGACUGAGAGUUACACAGAAUUGUUCUCUGGUUAUAAAGAAGGUCACAGAGGAGGAUGCUGGAGGUUACGGCUGCAGCCAGUACAGAUCAGGAGAACAACAAGGUCCAGACUCUCGUGUUUAUCUGCAUGUUGUUACCAUGACUGAACAUCUGGACAAUGAUGAGGUGACGUUACGCUGCUCUGUGUCGACAUAUGGACAGUGUGAUCACACAGUGAAGUGGCUGCUUCAGGGUCAAGAUGUGGAUAAAGAUCACAGAGAGAUAAAGACAUCACAGUCUUCCUGCUCUGCCUCUGUGACAUUUCUGACUUCUCUCUUUAGUUACACAACAAGGUCUGAGUUGUUUACUUGUGAAGUAACUAAUGGUUACACAGGAGAAGUUUAUCUGUUUCUCUUCAGCCCUCAGUCCUCAGGUGAGAACAUGAUAAGCUGUUUCAAAUCACUUCUAACAGUCUUGUUAUAAGAAUAUAUUGAAACAACACAUUUACAACAUCUCACAUUUAUCAGGGAUUGAAUGAGUUUCUGAAAUGUGAAGUGACAGAUGGUUAUGAUAAAAAAGAGAAGCUCUUAAUUGAGAAACCAGGUUAGAAUAUAAUGAGUUGUUUUAAAUCACUUAUCACACAUUUAAUCACAGAUAAUGCUUUUGGGAUUUGAGGUUUUGACGUCACAUCAUUUUGUCAUUUGGUUUAUGCAUAAAACAUUUUUUUUAACUACAGUUUUU